GACGAACGCUGGCGGCGUGCCUAACACAUGCAAGUCGAGCGAAUGAAGUUCCUUCGGGAAUGGAUUUAGCGGCGGACGGGUGAGUAACGCGUGGGCAACCUGCCUCAUAGAGGGGAAUAGCCUUCCGAAAGGGAGAUUAAUACCGCAUAAGAUUGUAGUACCGCAUGAUACAGCGAUUAAAGGAGCAAUCCGCUAUGAGAUGGGCCCGCGGCGCAUUAGCUAGUUGGUGAGGUAACGGCUCACCAAGGCGACGAUGCGUAGCCGACCUGAGAGGGUGAUCGGCCACAUUGGGACUGAGACACGGCCCAGACUCCUACGGGAGGCAGCAGUGGGGAAUAUUGCACAAUGGGGGAAACCCUGAUGCAGCAACGCCGCGUGAGUGAUGACGGCCUUCGGGUUGUAAAGCUCUGUCUUCAGGGACGAUAAUGACGGUACCUGAGGAGGAAGCCACGGCUAACUACGUGCCAGCCGCCGCGGUAACAC
rnacentral:rRNA from 1 species